CCGGGAGGGAGCAGCCUCCUCACAGGCCUGACUUCGCAGGGCCAGGUGAGCAGGCGCCUGAGAGCCACAGUAGGGCCAAUUCACAGCAGAGCUGGGGCUUGGGCUGCCAGCAGGACUAAUGGAGAGAGGCAGAAGCCAUGGAAGGACCCAUGGAAGGACCCAGGACCCAGGGAGCAAGGCAGGAUCCAGGGAGCAAGACAAACCACGCAGAAAGCAAGGGUUUUCUCACAGGAAAGUGUGCAUAGGAUAGCCGCUGUGCAAUCUUAUGCGUGUCUGCGGAC